rnacentral:rRNA from 1 species
UGGGGAAUAUUGCACAAUGGGGGAAACCCUGAUGCAGCAACGCCGCGUGGAGGAUGAAGGUCUUCGGAUUGUAAACUCCUUUGAUGAGGGACGAAAAAAAUGACGGUACCUCAAAAACAAGCCACGGCUAACUACGUGCCAGCAGCCGCGGUAAUACGUAGGUGGCAAGCGUUGUCCGGAAUUAUUGGGCGUAAAGGGCGCGUAGGCGGUCCUUUAAGUCAGAUGUGAAAACCCGAGGCUCAACUUCGGGCGUGCAUUUGAAACUGGAGGACUAGAGUGCAGGUGAGGUAAGUGGAAUUCCUAGUGUAGCGGUGAAAUGCGUAGAUAUUAGGAGGAACACCACUGGCGAAGGCGACUUACAGGACUGUAACUGACGCUGAGGCGCGAAAG